GGACCUCUAGGCUAAUUGGAUAAACCAAGGGCCUUCUAAGCCUUUAUUCCAGGUUCGAGUCCUGGGAGGUCUA
rnacentral:tRNA from 1 species